GAGGAACUUUUUUCGAAGCCGGUGGCGG
rnacentral:sRNA from 1 species